UACAGGGGGUGCAAACGUUGCUCGGAAUUAUUGGGCGUAAAGAGCGCGCAGGCGGCUGGUCAAGUCCGAUGUGAAAUCUCCCGGCUCAACUGGGAAACUGCAUCGGAAACUGAUCGGCUUGAAGAUGGGAGAGGGUAGUGGAAUUCCCGGUGUAGUGGUGAAAUGCGUAGAUAUCGGGAGGAACACCAGUGGCGAAGGCGACUACCUGGCCCAUUCUUGACGCUGAGGCGCGAAAGCUAGGGGAGCGAACGGG
rnacentral:rRNA from 1 species